UCAGUUGUUUUAAUUUUGGAU
rnacentral:piRNA from 1 species